rnacentral:lncRNA from 1 species
CAUGGAAGCUGGGUUCCCAAAAAGCUAUCCAUCCAAGAGUUAGCAGGUCAGAAACUGUAGUAUCUUUGAGAACGCAGUCUCAGAAGUGGUUCUGCAUCACUAUAUUUCAUCCACAAUAUCCUAUUUGUUACUAAGUUAAGCCCUAUUCAGUGUCAGGAGGUGGAGACUACUAGGCCAGCAAUCACCUGCCAGGAUGGGAGGACCUCUGGGGGCCACCUUGGAAGCCAGUCCCCAUCAUGGAACUGUCCAUUGACAGAAUAGGCUGUGUCAUGAGACAAUAAGUGCCUGGAGGUACACAAACAAACCUGGCCCCAAACUGAGUAAAUGAGGAAAGGGGGUGGGCAGUUUUCUAGAACACAUUGUGAAUAGUCUAGACAAGCUUCCUCCUUUCAGAACUCAUUGUUCUCUAAGGAGUAUGUAAACUGACUUGAAAAAAAGAAAAGAGAGAGGGAAAUUAAGUGAGUUGAAAACACCAAAAUAGCUCUCAUUUUUUAGAGUGAAACUAUUUGAUAAAUUAUUUGAGGGUUACAUUUAUGAAGCGGGCAUGGAGGUGAGGGCAAACCAGAGCAAUCCCCCAAGAUGAGAUGAUUGGCAGUAUACCCUGGAGAAGGGAGCAAGAAUUUAAACACUGAGAAUUGUUUAAUUAGCCUAACUUCAUUCAAGACCUCUCAGCCUCAUUUUCAUUGUUUGUCUUACAUACAUAACAUCCUUCGGUAUCAGCCCAUCUUUUUGCAGCAUCAAGCCCCAAGACUCUGAAACAGUGUUUUAGAUAACCUACUAGGCAUUUCAUUCUCUAAAGAAACCAAUUAUAUAUGAAAUUAAUAAUUAAAAAUUAUAAAUAGAAAGAACAAGAAAACAUGCAUACUCCAUGUCCUGCGGGUAGAUUUUUGCAUGGUGUGUAGGGAAUUAGGUGCAAAAAAAUCCAUUUAUGUUAAUGGGCAUUGCAUGUCUAAUUUCUCAUGCACCACACUGCCGACUUCCCCCUGUGUCUUUGUCAGUACAUGGGACUGAUGGAGGGGGAAAGAAAAGUGAAUGAUUUAUUUGAUGGUCUGUCAAUCAUAACAGCAACCAGAGAAAUUCCAAAACUGUUUUUAACCUCUAUAGAAACAGUUAGUUAGACCAUAUGCUUUUUUCUUCUUGCCAGAUGCUGUCAUUCAUCAAUUUCCUAUUAAGAAAAUGGGAUUCUGCAAAACCACUGAGGGUCUUUCUCAUUUGUAAUAGAUAUGCCACAAAAUCAGAUUGCAAACGUAUUCUGCAGCUUGUGCAAAAUAACUUCUGACACUUGCUAAUCUCCAUAUUAAUUCUGACUGACCUUUGAUGGUGUUUCUUAUGUGUGGUCAGAACAUCAUCCAAAAAUAUUAUUUUAAAAUUACUUUUACCCUGAGUUUAAGCCUAGAGGUUAAAUAGAUUUGUUUGUGAUUAUCCAGUCUAUAAAAAAGAAAUUAAAUGGACAUUUAAAAAUACCAGUUCCCUCCUAAAAUACUCUUUAGAUAGUAAAGAGAGAUAAUAAAAUGUCUGAGAAUUAAAGUAAGCAACAUGAGCCAAGCAUUGAUCACUCGAAGACAUCAAAGAAACUGAAAAAAAAUUUUUUUAAUUAUAUUGACCCCUCUCACCCCACCAAGUACAAAGAUCAUUUUGUUGAGAGCAGAUGGCUGCUAAUUACUAUAAGCUCCUGAGUGGAUUUGUUUGUUUGCUUGUUUGUUUAUAAUCAUGGAUAAAGACACCUAGAAAACCUAAGGACUCCUUUUCUUAGGGACAAUAAAAUCCAUCCUCUCCUCAGCAGUAGUACAUCGUCAGGCUUCAGGACAUGGCUAUAACAACAAUUGCAUUUUGGGUUUUAAAUUUGAAUGUUCUAGGUAGUUGGAAUAUAUUGACACUUGCCAUCAUUUCUAACACAGAUUUUCUUGAGGUAUUCUUAUGAUAACACUGGUGGCUUCAAAUGUUUGCUUGUCAUGCCGAACUCACUGAGCAAACCAGCGAACAUGGAAGUUUAAGGGAAAAGAAUACCACUGCACAACUUUCAAUCUGCAGCAUUUUGCAUUUCUUAUUAAUAGGAACUGACUCUUUGACAAACCCUGCAAAUGCUUUAUAGGAGUGAGGAAUGCUCUGAAAUUCAAGGCAAAUUUCGUUCAAUAGUUAAGCACUGAUCAAAAUUCUGAAUUUUCUCUGGCUGUCAGCCAGCAAGCAGGGGCUGCUUAUUGUUUAAGAUUUUAGUAGAAAGCCACUCAGAGGGGAGGGAAAAAAAAAAAAAUCUAUGACUUUACAGCUGUCAGACUUUGUUGUAUCUACUCCAGCCUAAUAUUCUCAAGUCUAAUUUUUUUUUAAGCUUUGUCUUUUUAUUCAUAGACCCAGUAGAGAGUGCAUAUAGCCAUAAACGUGUGCCUCCAUCACACGGCAUUGCUAUUGACCCCUGCCCUGAGCUGAAGAUUGUACCUUCUCAGGGGAUAACAAAUGAUUCACUUUGCAGGUAGGCAGAGGCCUGGAGCUCCCUUCUCCAGACACUGCCAAUUUUCCUGAAUGAUCUCUUGUGAUUGGUUUUCUCAUAUGAAUGGACUCUCUGAGUACACCACCACCAAACUCUGUUUAUUUAGGAAUAUGUCUUUGACAAGAACAGCUGUCCUGGGGUUGAAAUGAUUAGUACUUUAUCUGCUAAUGCAGGUUCCCAUUUGGCUGUGGGCUAAAAACACAUUUCCAUCCUGGGAAAACAUUGCUGCCAUUUCUUGGCCCCCAAACAAGUUUUUGGUGUUUGAUCAAGCUGAGCCACUAAAAAAAAAAUGACAAUAAUCUUAUGUAAGGUCACUGGCUUGACCUCUAACGGCCGACUAAGGUUCCAGUUCUGUAAGGUGAACCGGAAAAACGAGCAAGCUCUGUGCAUAGAAAUAGUAGCCAAGUUUCCUCUAUUAAUCCAGCCUCACUUGGGAGCAUGGUUAAAAUAAGGAUACAGGUGAGCACAAAAGAGAUAGGAUCCUGAGUCUGACCUUGACUUAGAGAGAAAAUUCUUUAACAGGUCCAUAGUGGGUGGGAGAAAUGGAGCUAGAGGCCCUCAGCCAGAAAAUUAUUUAACCUGGAGCUAACAUUCUUUCAAACUUCCUGUUUAGGAGUGUUAAGGUAUUUCCAAGCACAGUUGUACAAACACAUAUCCAUUGUGAGAUACAAAUAUGUGUAGUCUGUUGAAUAAAAUAUUAAAAAGUAACCACUACUUUUUGAAAUAUUGGUCUGUCAUUUUUUAGUGUUUUGAUUAUUUGGGCAUCUUAAUGCUUUUCAAUAGCAUCUGCCGAAGCCCACUGAAAAACUUUAAGAUUGGUUUAAAGCACUGUUAAACUAACCCGCAAAGAGCAGAGCCCAUAACAAAUUAGUAAAUUGUCACAAACUAGGUGGCAAGACAGCAAAAAUAUAUUUUCUCAAAGUCCUGAAGAUGAACCACUUCAAAUCAAAUUAUCAGCAGGGCCAUAUUCUCUGAAGGCUCCAGGAAGACUCUUUCCUUGCCUUUUCCUUUCUUCUGGUAGCUCCCAGCAGUCCUCAUUAUUCCCUGUCACAUCUUCUUUGAGGCUCUGUCUCUGUUUCCGUGUGUCUCUCUGUGUAACAUCUGCUUUCUUAUACAUCCGUCAUUGGAUUUAGGGUCCACCCUAGUCCUAUAUGACCUCAUCUUAAAUACAUCUGCCAAGAUCCUAGUCUUAAAUAAGGUCAUAUUCCCAGGUAGACCUGAAUUUUGGGAAAACACAUCAGCCCAAAUCUCUUUCUCCAUGUGACCUACUGGGAUAACUAGGAAAACAGCAGGAACAGUGGCCUACCUUUUUCUUUGAAAGGUAUUUGAUGACCUGACAGUUGUAGUAAAGACCACAGCAAAGGCCUGUAGAAUAAACAAUGGGAAAAUAAGACAGAGGCACAGAGACAAGGAAAUUUCUUCAUGCCUUCCUCAUAGAGCCCAUGUAUUUUCCCAACCAAAGUCUUAGCUGUACUUCACACUUGCCCCCUCAGCAGAGAAACUGGUCUCCCCAUGGCCCAAGGCACAGGAACAUGUGUCACAUGGGGACUGGAAGCCACUGUAAAUGUGGCACCUCUUCUUAAUGCAUCAGUUGUAUUCAAUUAUUUAGUUAUUAAAAACAUGUUUAGGUUGAAAUAAACAUGACUACUUUUUAGUAGUUCCUGUUGUGGCUCAGUGAUAAUGAACCCGACCAGCACCAAUGAGGAUGCGGAUUUGAUCCCUGGCCUCGCUCAGUGGGUUAAAGGAUCUGGCAUUGUCAUGACCUGUGGUUUAGGUCACAGAUAUGGCUCAGAUCCCGCAUUACUGUUGCUGUGACAUAGGCCGGUGACCACAUCUCUGAUUUGACCCCUAGCCUGGGAACUUCCAUAU